rnacentral:lncRNA from 1 species
GAGCUGAAAUCAGCAAAGCACUAUCUUAUAGAGGAACAGCAAGUUCAGGCUAUGAUUCAAUCCCUUCCUGAUAGUUGAGAGAACAUGAAGGUCACUUUCACUCUUAAUGAUAGUAUCAAGAUCUUUGAUGAUGUUGCUCACCAUGUUGAGUUGAAAGAUGAACGAUCUGGGACUGUUAAAACUUCUAAACAAAUAUAUGUUGCUGCAAUCAG